rnacentral:rRNA from 1 species
ACGGGUGAGUAAUGCCUAGGAAUCUGCCUGGUAGUGGGGGAUAACGUUCGGAAACGAACGCUAAUACCGCAUACGUCCUACGGGAGAAAGCAGGGGACCUUCGGGCCUUGCGCUAUCAGAUGAGCCUAGGUCGGAUUAGCUAGUUGGUGAGGUAAUGGCUCACCAAGGCGACGAUCCGUAACUGGUCUGAGAGGAUGAUCAGUCACACUGGAACUGAGACACGGUCCAGACUCCUACGGGAGGCAGCAGUGGGGAAUAUUGGACAAUGGGCGAAAGCCUGAUCCAGCCAUGCCGCGUGUGUGAAGAAGGUCUUCGGAUUGUAAAGCACUUUAAGUUGGGAGGGAGGGCCAUUACCUAAUACGUGAUGGUUUUGACGUUACCGACAGAAUAAGCACCGGCUAACUCUGUGCCAGCAGCCGCGGUAAUACAGAGGGUGCAAGCGUUAAUCGGAAUUACUGGGCGUAAAGCGCGCGUAGGUGGUUCGUUAAGUUGGAUGUGAAAUCCCCGGGCUCAACCUGGGAACUGCAUUCAAAACUGUCGAGCUAGAGUAUGGUAGAGGGUGGUGGAAUUUCCUGUGUAGCGGUG